ACGAGCGCUCAGCGCCGCGCGCGACGGCCACAGCCGGGUCAGAAAAGUGGACGCCGCACCCCGGGCUUUCUGGGAGCGGAACGCACAGGUCGGCCCCGCGGCCCGGCUCGCCCUCUUCUCGCUGCCCCUGCGCACCGAUUCUCUCCGGGAAUCGUCCACAAGAGCCCGAGUCCGCCCUCUCCUUCCGGCAGCGGCCGCGCCGAGCCCGCGGCCCUGGACGCCCGCCCCACCAAGUGCCGGCGCAGCCCGGAGAAUCCGCCGCCCCAAGUUCGCCCGAGCACUGAGGCAUUUGGCACUUGGCGGACAGCGAGUCGUCCUGUGUUUGGCUUUUGCUCUUCUCCACCCGGUUUGUGGAGAUUGACAGCAAGUCUGUGCUCACUCUCCCACCUUGUCUCUGCACUUGUCUCGUCAGGCCUACGCUGUGCAGGUAUUCCUGCCCAGGUUUUGAGCUGACCAGAGAAAAUCACCAUCACAAUGACCAAAUCAAACAGCUGCAUGGGACCUAAGAGGUGAGUUCGUCCUAACUUUUAUUUUACACAGG
ensembl:lncRNA